rnacentral:lncRNA from 1 species
GAGGGAACCGGUUCCUCAUGGUCUACCAUUCAUGCUCAGAUAUUCAUAUCAAUAGAGCUGCGAGAACGAAGAGGAGCAGAGUGACCGACGGCUGAUCGCUACAUCGAUACAUCGCUACAUCGAUACAUCGAUACAUCGAUACAUCGAUACAUCGAUACAUCGCUACAUCGAUACAUCGAUACAUCGGUUGAUCGGUUGAUCGGUUGAUCGGACCAUGUGGAUCUGGAGAAGCCUCCUGUGUGUGUCUCUGGUCUGUGGUCUGGGUCUGGGUCUGGGUCUGGACCGCAACACCAUCCGGUCCUCCAAAGAGACGACGGAGCAGAGUCCCGGGCUGCCGGAUCGUGUCCAUGGCGACAAGGUGGAGCGUCCCGUACGGCGCCGGACGGAGACGACGAGACGAUGUUCUACACCGGACUGUUACCUAGCAACGGUGGGAGGCUGCAGCAACCGAGCUCAGAGGAGACCGUCCUCACGGCACAGACAGGUGGACAGACAGGUGGACAGACAGGUGGACAGACAGGUGGACAUGGAGACAGACACACAGAUCAACAGAGACAUCUUCAACAGGACCAAAGGUGAGUGAUUGGAAGACAACUACAAAUCCCAGAGUGCAUUGCUGGUUUUGUUUUUAGAAGUACACAAUAGUGUACUUUGUACUACAUCUCAG